AUGCAAAUGAUGGAAAACUCACUGUUUGGAAAAGAAAGAAUGACAGCAACAAAGGAAGCACUGGCGCAG
ensembl:snoRNA SNORD42 Small nucleolar RNA SNORD42